ACGUAGGUGGCAAGCGUUGUCCGGAAUAACUGGGCGUAAAGCGCAUGUAGACGGCAUAGCAAGCCAAGUGUGAAAUUUAGGGGCUUAACCUCUAAACUGCGCUUGGAACUGCUGAGCUUGAGUGCAGGAGAGGCAAGUGGAAUUCCCAGUGUAGAGUGGAAAGGCUAAAAAUUUGGGAGAAACCCAAGGGCGAAGGCGACUUGCUGGACUGCAACUGACGUUGAGAUGCGAAAGCUAGGGGAGCAAACGG
rnacentral:rRNA from 1 species